rnacentral:rRNA from 1 species
UACGUAGGGUGCAAGCGUUGUCCGGAAUUAUUGGGCGUAAAGAGCUCGUAGGCGGUCUGUCGCGUCGGCUGUGAAAACUCGGGGCUCAACUCCGAGCUUGCAGUCGAUACGGGCAGGCUAGAGUUCGGCAGGGGGAGACUGGAAUUCCUGGUGUAGCGGUGAAAUGCGCAGAUAUCAGGAGGAACACCGGUGGCGAAGGCGGGUCUCUGGGCCGAUACUGACGCUG